rnacentral:rRNA from 1 species
UUCCGGUUGAUCCUGCCGGACCUGACUGCUAUCGGAUUGGUACUAAGCCAUGUGAGUCGUUGCAGCAAUGCAAGGCAGACGGCUCAGUAACACGUAGUCAACCUAACCUAUGGACGGGGAUAACCUCGGGAAACUGAGAAUAAUACCCGAUAGAUCAUGAUACCUGGAACGGUUUAUGGUUCAAAUGAUUUAUCGCCAUAGGAUGGGACUGCGGUCUAUCAGCUUGUUGGUGAGGUAAUGGCCCACCAAGGCUAUAACAGAUACGGGCUCUGAGAGGAGGGGCCCGGAGAUGGGUACUGAGACAAGGGCCCAGGCCCUAUGGGGCGCAGCAGGCGCGAAAUCUUUGCAAUAGGCGAAAGCCUGACAAGGUUACUCUGAGUGAUCUCCGCUAAGGAAAUCUUUUGACACCUCUAAAAAUGGUGUAGAAUAAGGGGUGGGCAAGCCUGGUGUCAGCCGCCGCGGUAAUACCAGCACCCCGAGUGGUCGGGACGAUUAUUGGGCCUAAAGCAUCCGUAGCCGGUUCUUUAAGUCCUCCGUUAAAUCCACCUGCUUAACAGAUGGGCUGCGGAGGAUACUAUAGAGCUAGGAGGCGGGAGAGGCAAGCGGUACUCAGUGGGUAGGGGUAAAAUCCGUUGAUCCAUUGAAGACCACCAGUGGCGAAGGCGGCUUGCCAGAACGCGCUCGACGGUGAGGGAUGAAAGCUGGGGGAGCAAACCGGAUUAGAUACCCGGGUAGUCCCAGCUGUAAACGAUGCAGACUCGGUGAUGCACUGGCUUGUGGCCAGUGCAGUGCCGCAGGGAAGCCGUUAAGUUUGCCGCCUGGGAAGUACGUACGCAAGUAUGAAACUUAAAGGAAUUGGCGGGGGAGCACCACAAGGGGUGAAGCCUGCGGUUCAAUUGGAUUCAACGCCGGA